CUGCUGCCUCCCGUAGGAGUCUGGUCCGUGUCUCAGUACCAGUGUGGGGGACCUUCCUCUCAGAACCCCUACGCAUCGUCGCCUCGGUGGGCCGUUACCCCGCCGACUAGCUAAUGCGACGCAUGGCCAUCCUAUGCCGGAGUCGCCUCCUUUGACCCCAAGAAGAUGUCUCCUAAAGGUGUUAUGCGGUAUUAGACGGAAUUUCUUCCGCUUAUCCCCCUGCAUAGGGCAGGUUCCAUACGUGUUACUCAUCCGUGCG
rnacentral:rRNA from 1 species